rnacentral:rRNA from 1 species
CGGGGCCCGCACAAGCGUGGAGCAUGUGGUUUAAUUCGAUGCAACGCGAAGAACCUUACCUACUCUUGACAUCCAGAGAACUUUCCAGAGAUGGAUUGGUGCCUUCGGGAACUCUGAGACAGGUGCUGCAUGGCUGUCGUCAGCUCGUGUUGUGAAAUGUUGGGUUAAGUCCCGCAACGAGCGCAACCCUUAUCCUUUGUUGCCAGCGGUUCGGCCGGGAACUCAAAGGAGACUGCCAGUGAUAAACUGGAGGAAGGUGGGAUGACGUCAAGUCAUCAUGGCCCUUACGAGUAGGGCUACACACGUGCUACAAUGGCAUAUACAAAGAGAAGCGACCUCGCGAGAGCAAGCGGACCUCAUAAAGUAUGUCGUAGCCCGGAUUGGAGUCUGCAACUCGACUCCAUGAAGUCGGAAUCGCUGGUAAUCGUAGAUCAGAAUGCUACGGUGAAUACGUUCCCGGGCCUU